UGAUACUGACCUUUAGUUAAUUUCUUUUACUUCAGUUAAUUUAUUUUACUUUCAUAAAUACCAGGCUGGUUCCUUUCUAGCUCAUUUCUAUAAUAUCCGCCAAGUAACUACAAUUGGCAUCCAGGAGAAGGGCGUGGCCCUAGCCUUAACUCGUCUGUUUUGGCCCAGAUAAUAGUAUGUUCCCCAGAAAGUAACCACAUCGUGAAUAGUAGAGUACCAGUUCCUCAAGACAGUCACCCAUGGGUUCGACGAACAGUUAAAUAGCUCCGUAGGCAAACAUCAUGCAUCAAACUUCCACCUGGCGCCUCCCGAAGAAGAUCUGGAGCUGUGGAUAACCUAGGACAGCACCGGAAGAAGCCUUCACACCACAAGCUAAGUCUUUAAUAGUAUCUUGUACUUGCCUGUCAGCAGAGACAGUUUUUUUUAUAUAAAGUAACUUCACAAUUACCAGAAUGUAGAUCCUGAAUUAUAUCCAAAGAAAUGGUACCGAAAUUCAUUCCUAUUUACUGAUAGUAUACCGUAUGCCUGGAGAAUGCAGAGGAGUAGAAUUCAGUGGCGUACUGAGCAUGAUUCCGCGGGUUCCUCGGCACCAUGGCCCUGGCCACGCGGGGGCCCGCUCUAACGCGCUUUUUGCUUCUUUUGGUUCUAAUUUGAUGGGGACAUUGUGAACUACAUAAGUACACACUAAGAAAUGUGACUGUUUGUGACACUAAGAAAUGUGUGUAUAGUAUUUUUACUACAAAAGCGAUAUUACGUAGGUCAAAAUUUUUGACGUAAGAGAACUGUCAAAACAUUAGAAUGUGACUUUUCUAUACAUAGUUACUUAUAAAUAAAAACGAAGAAUGACUAUUCAUCAAAAAAUUUGAAAACAAUAUAGGCAAUAUGUAGUGGUAAGGAUAUAUAAGGAUAAAUAUAGACACUAAUUUCUUUUUAAGCAAAUCUCGUCGUUUGACAAAAGAUCAACCCCACCGUUAUCCAAGUUUUUUUUUUAUAUUUUUUAUUUAACCGUUUUAUCUCCCCAGAGGUUUGUAUGUAAUUAUUUAACUUAUUUAUAAAUGUAUCAUAAUAUGAAAUUUGAGAAUCAAUUUUGUUGAUAUAAAUUUCAUUCCAAUGUUCAUUUUUUAAAAGCUGUUUUAGUUUUCCGAUAUUAAGGUUUCUAAUUAUGAUUGGAGAUUUCGAUGUAGACAAUUUUUGAGUUUCAUUAUUUAUAAAAACGGCUGGCGUAAAUUGAUCAAUCAUGACAGUAUGAAAAGCGAUAGAAUUAAUAUUACUGUUUAGACAUUCCAUUGAUUUUUAAAAAGUUUACAACAUCAAAAGUAAGUAAGUUACGAUCAAAAUAAUUUUGGUGUCUUUAGCAUCCCAAACGAAAUUAAUCGUUACCGCUUCACAAAUUACUUUACUUAUGUAUUGUUUAUAAGAUAUGUAAGAUUCGUUGGUUCAAAAAUGGGCUUAAACGAAUCACUAAUCACGAGUGUAUGCAAAUUUUGAACAGCCGUAUCUUAUAUAACCAAUUUUUGUCUUCAGGAAACCAAAAAGUCCAAAAUAUUCACAAUAGUAAAACCAAUAUUUUUUACUAGUUGCGUAGAAUAGGUAUUUAAAAAAAAAUGUUUUUUCAAAAAUAAGUACUUUCAAAAACUUACAGAUCAUGUAAACAAUACAUAAGUCAAGUAAUUUGUGAAGAGGUAACGAUUAAUUCUAUUUGGGAUGCAAAUUAGGGGGUGAUUUUUACGAUUUUUUUACCAAAAAAGGGACCAACUUUAUUUUGAGCAUCACACUUAAUAUUGAUGCUAGAAACUAAAAGAAAAAAUACAAAAAAGCGCUUCAUUUUUUGGAUAUUUAACGUUGAAAUAUUAUUCGAAUUGGACUUUGACGAAUAACAACCUACUUUUCAUUACCUAUAACUCUGCUUCUCCUGUGUCUACAGACUUCGCAUAUACACCAUUUUUUUCACUUUUUUAUGGGCUAUAUUGUUAUUAACAAUAUUUUUUAAAAAAACCGUCUCCACAGGUGUUUUUUUUUGUGAAAAAUGAACAUAUUCACUCACAAAUAUCUCGAAAAGUAUUGACUUAGUGAAAAAACUCUACAGAACUAAAGUUGCUUAGAAUUAGUCAGUUUGUCAAAUUCCAGACUUAUCUUGAACGUAUGUUUUUCACCUCCGAGAAGGGGUGAAACUUACCCUCUGGGCAAAAGCACACAUCGGCACAAUAUAUAUCACUUAAUAUGAUUUAUUUUAUGAUAUAUUAUGAUUUCUAUUUAAUGUUUAUUAAAAACUUUUGAUAUACAA